UACGAAGGGUGCAAACGUUGCUCGGAAUUAUUGGGCGUAAAGCGCACGUAGGCGGUUCGUUAAGUCGGACGUGAAAGCCCUCGGCUCAACCGAGGAAGUGCAUCCGAAACUGGCGAGCUAGAGUACGAAAGAGGGUCGCGGAAUUCCCGGUGUAGAGGUGAAAUUCGUAGAUAUCGGGAGGAACACCAGUGGCGAAGGCGGCGAUCUGGGUCGAUACUGACGCUGAGGUGCGAAAGCGUGGGGAGCAAACAGG
rnacentral:rRNA from 1 species